CGCCUGGUUUAUACCCUCGUUGAAUACACCGGUUUUCGUCCGAUCGCCGAAGUUAAGCAACGUCGGGCGGGGUCAGGACUUGGAUGGGUGGCUUUUUGUAUUUUUUUUUAUUCGUUUUU
rnacentral:rRNA from 1 species